rnacentral:rRNA from 1 species
GGGCCCGCACAAGCGGUGGAGCAUGUGGUUUAAUUCGACGCAACGCGCAGAACCUUACCCGGGCUAGAAAAACAUGGAAUCCCUUGGAAACAGGGGCGUGCUCGCAAGAGAACCAUGGUCCAGGUGCUGCAUGGCUGUCGUCAGCUCGUGUCGUGAGAUGUUGGGUUAAGUCCCGCAACGAGCGCAACCCUUGUCCUUAGUUGCCAUCAGUUCGGCUGGGCACUCUAAGGAGACUGCCGGCGUCAAGCCGGAGGAAGGUGGGGAUGACGUCAAGUCCUCAUGGCCCUCAUGUCCGGGGCUACACACGUGCUACAAUGGUCGGUACAGAACGUCGCGAACCUGUGAAGGGGAGCUAAUCGGCAAAAGCCGACCUCAGUACGGAUUGCAGUCUGCAACUCGACUGCAUGAAGCCGGAAUCGCUAGUAAUCGCUGAUCAGCAGGCAGCGGUGAAUACGUUCCCGGGCCUU